rnacentral:rRNA from 1 species
UACGAAGGGGACUAGCGUUGUUCGGAAUUACUGGGCGUAAAGCGCACGUAGGCGGAUUCGUAAGUCAGGGGUGAAAUCCCGGGGCUCAACCUCGGAACUGCCUUUGAUACUGCGGAUCUCGAGUCCGAUAGAGGUGGGUGGAAUUCCUAGUGUAGCGGUGAAAUGCGUAGAUAUUGGGAGGAAUACCGGUGGCGAAGGCGGCUCCCUGGACCGGUACUGACGCUGAGGCGCGAAAGCGUGGGUAGCAAACAGG